rnacentral:rRNA from 1 species
ACUGAACGCUGGCGGCACGCCUAACACAUGCAAGUCGAGCGGUAGCAUGAUUAGUAGCAAUACUAAUUGAUGACGAGCGGCGGACGGGUGAGUAAUACGUAGGAACCUGCCCUCAAGCGGGGGAUAACUAAGGGAAACUUUAGCUAAUACCGCAUAAUCUCGAGAGAGUAAAGCUGCAGCAAUGUGGCACUUGAGGAGGGGCCUGCGUCAGAUUAGCUAGUUGGUGAGGUAAUAGCUCACCAAGGCGAUGAUCUGUAACUGGUCUGAGAGGACGACCAGUCACACUGGGACUGAGACACGGCCCAGACUCCUACGGGAGGCAGCAGUGGGGAAUAUUGGACAAUGGGGGCAACCCUGAUCCAGCGAUGCCGCGGGGGUGAAGAAGGCCUUCGGGUUGUAAAGCCCUUUAGGUUGGGAAGAAGGUUAGUGGAGGAAAUGCCAUUAAUUUGACGGUACCAACAGAAUAAGCACCGGCAAACUCUGUGCCAGCCGCCGCCGUAA